CGCUGCGCUCCGAGGUGGAGACCGGGUCUCAUACGCCUGUGUCCGGCGGUUCGAAUCCGUCCGCAGCGACCA
rnacentral:tRNA from 1 species